GUGUCAGCAGCCGCGGUAAUACGUAAGGACCGAGCGUUGUCCGGAAUCAUUGGGCGUAAAGGGUACGUAGGCGGGUUUUUAAGUUAGAAGUCAAAGGCUAUAGCUCAACUAUAGUAAGCUUCUAAAACUGGGGACCUUGAGUAAUGGAAGGGAAAGUGGAAUUCCUAGUGUAGCGGUGGAAUGCGCAGAUAUUAGGAGGAAUACCGGUGGCGAAGGCGACUUUCUGGCCAUUAACUGACGCUGAGGUACGAAAGCGUGGGUAGCAAACAGGAUUAGAAACCCGCGUAGUCC
rnacentral:rRNA from 1 species